GUAGAUGUGGUUGGCCAAAUAGUUAACUUCGGGUCUCUGGAAAACAAAAUAAUAAAAGGAAAAGACAACAUGAGGCUCUUGGUUGAGUUGCGUGACCCAAAUAAUGUGAAGAUGAUGUGUACUCUGUGGGGUUGUUAUGCUAAACAAGUAUACGAUUACAGUAGGAGUAACAUGUCCACCAUGAUUAUUUGUGUUAUCAGAUUCUGUUCUGUUAAAGAGUGGAAAGGUAUAUAAUAUUGUUUCAA